rnacentral:rRNA from 1 species
AGAGUUUGAUCAUGGCUCAGGAUGAACGCUGGCGGCAUGCCUAAUACAUGCAAGUCGAACGACGUCUUGCCCUUCGGGGCAAGCGAGUGGCGAACGGGUGAGUAACACGUGAGUGACCUGUCCGGGCGGCGGGGGAUAACCACUGGAAACGGUGGCUAAUACCGCAUAGGAAACGAUUGUCGAGAUUGUUUUGAAAGGUGCCACGGCACCACCGACGGAGGGGCUUGCGGCGCAUUAGAUAGUUGGUAGGGUAACGGCCUACCAAGUCGAUGAUGCGUAGCUGAGCUGAGAGGCUGGACAGCCACACUGGGACUGAGACACGGCCCAGACUCCUACGGGAGGCAGCAGUAGGGAAUUUUUGGCAAUGGGGGGAACCCUGACCAAGCAAUGCCACGUGAACGAAGAAGGUCUUCGGAUUGUAAAGUUCUGUUGAUAGGAAUGAAAGGUGUGCGCAGGGAAUGGCGCAUGCUUGACAGUACCUUUCGAGGAAGCCCCGGCUAACUACGUGCCAGCAGCCGCGGUAAUACGUAGGGGGCAAGCGUUAUCCGGAAUUAUUGGGCGUAAAGCGUGUGUAGGCGGUCUGUUAAGUCAGGUGUAAAAGAUCUCGGCCCAACCGAGUAGGGCAUUUGAAACUGGCAGACUUGAGUACGGUAGAGGCAAGUGGAAUUCCAUGUGUAGCGGUGGAAUGCGUAGAUAUAUGGAGGAACACCGAUGGCGAAGGCAACUUGCUGGGCCGGAACUGACGCUGAGACACGAAAGCGUGGGUAGCAAACAGGAUUAGAUACCCUGGUAGUCCACGCCGUAAACGAUGAGAACUAAGUGUUGGAGUGAAAUUCAGUGCUGCAGUUAACGCAAUAAGUUCUCCGCCUGGGUAUUACGGUCGCAAGACUGAAACUCAAAUGAAUUGACGGGAACCCGCACAAGCGGUGGAGUAUGUUGUUUAAUUCGAAGAUACACGAAGAACCUUACCAGGUCUUGACAUACCAUUGACCGGUUUAGAGAUAAACCUUUCCCUAGUGGACAAUGGAUACAGGUGGUGCAUGGUUGUCGUCAGCUCGUGCCGUGAGGUGUUGGGUUAAGUCCCGCAACGAGCGCAACCCCUGUUGCUAGUUGCUAACAGUAAGAUGAGGACUCUAGCGAGACUGCCAGUGACAAACUGGAGGAAGGCGGGGAUGACGUCAAAUCAUCAUGCCCUUUAUGACCUGGGCUACAAACGUACUACAAUGGCCGCAACAAAGAGAAGCGAGAGGGCGACCUUUAGCGAACCUCACAAAUGCGGUCCCAGUUCGGAUUGGGGUCUGCAACCCGACCCCAUGAAGUCGGAAUCGCUAGUAAUCGCGAGUCAGCAAAUCGCGGUGAAUACGUUCCCGGGUUUUGUACACACCGCCCGUCAAACCACGAGAGUUUGGAACACCCGAAGCCGGUGGCCCAACCCUUAGGGGAGGGAGCCGUCGAAGGUGGGCCGAAUGAUUGGGGUUAAGUCGUAACAAGG